rnacentral:pre_miRNA from 17 species
GACCGCACGGGAUAAUCGAUUAUCCCGUGUGGUCCACUUAACCUGACCGCACGGGAAAUGGAUUAUCCCAUGCGGUU